GUAACAAGGUCUCCGUUGGUGAACCAGCGGAGGGAUCAUUACAGAGUUUUCUAAACUCCCAACCCUAUGUGAACUUACCUUUGUUGCUUCGGCGGCGGAGGCUACCCUGCGGGAGAAUACCACUUAGUGGUUACCCUGUAGUUUCAGGUACAUCAGCUACCCGGUAGUCAUCCCCGCCGGCGGCCAACUAAACUCUGUUUUCUUUGGAAUUCUGAAUAACAAACUUAAUGUUAAAACUUUCAACAACGGAUCUCUUGGUUCUGGCAUCGAUGAAGAACGCAGCGAAAUGCGAUAAGUAAUGUGAAUUGCAGAAUUCAGUGAAUCAUCGAAUCUUUGAACGCACAUUGCGCCCAUUAGCAUUCUAGUGGGCAUGCCUGUUCGAGCGUCAUUUCACCACUUAAGCCUUGUUGCUUAGCGUUGGGAGCCUACGGCACGGCCCGUAGCUCCUUAAAGUGAUUGGCGGAGUUGGUUCUCACUCUAAGCGUAGUAAUUAUAUCUCGCUUCUGUAGUGGUCCCGGCCCCUGCCGUAAAACCCUUUAUACAAAGGUUGACCUCGGAUCAGGUAGGAAUACCCGCUGAACUUAAGCAUAUCAAUAA
rnacentral:rRNA from 1 species